UCCCUGGUGGUCCAGUGGUUAAGACUCUGCACUUCCAAUGCAGGGGGCUCUGGUUUAAUUCUUGGUAGAGGAA
rnacentral:tRNA from 1 species